UAAAAACUUGAAUAGGAAAGGAAGAUUCCCGAGUGGAUUGGAAAAUGGAGACUCUGCCACACAACAAGCAGAUGGACUCCAGCAGUUGUGGAGUUUUAGUGUUGAAGUUUGCCGAACACUACCUUAUGAGUGGAGAGGUUACUAGGGUGCUGUCCACUCCAGAAGCCACUGGGCUGCAACGCACAGAAAUUGCUUGCGAACUGCUAGAACAUCAAAGUAAUGCUGAUGACUACUGUGUGGUUUGUUCCAUGCUGGAAGCCGAUCC